rnacentral:rRNA from 1 species
AGAGUUUGAUCAUGGCUCAGAAUCAACGCUGGCGGCGUGCCUCAGACAUGCAAGUCGAACGAUUAAAGCUCUCUUCGGAGAGUGCAUAGAGUGGCGCACGGGUGAGUAACACGUAAGUAAUCUACCUUCGAGUGGGGAAUAACCCGGGGAAACCCGAGCUAAUACCGCAUAAUGCAGCGGCAUCGUAAGAUGACAGUUGUUAAAGAUUUAUCGCUUGAAGAGGAGCUUGCGGCAGAUUAGCUAGUUGGUAAGGUAAUGGCUUACCAAGGCUACGAUCUGUAACCGGUCUAAGAGGACGGUCGGUCACACUGACACUGAAUAACGGGUCAGACUCCUACGGGAGGCAGCAGUCGGGAAUUUUGGGCAAUGGGGGAAACCCUGACCCAGCAACGCCGCGUGAAGGAUGAAGUAUUUCGGUAUGUAAACUUCGAAAGAAUAGGAAGAAUAAAUGACGGUACUAUUUAUAAGGUCCGACUAACUACGUGCCAGCAGCCGCGGUAAUACGUAGGGACCAAGCGUUGUUCGGAUUUACUGGGCGUAAAGGGCGCGUAGGCGGCAAUUCAAGUCAUCUGUGAAAUCUCCGGGCUUAACUCGGAACGGUCAGAUGAUACUGCUUUGCUAGAGUGCGGAAGGCGCAAUCGGAAUUCUUGGUGUAGCGGUGAAAUGCGUAGAUAUCAAGAGGAACACCUGAGGUGAAGACGGGUUGCUGGGCCGACACUGACGCUGACAGCGCGAAAGCCAGGGGAGCAAACGGGAUUAGAUACCCCGGUAGUCCUGGCCCUAAACGAUGAAUACUUGGUGUCUGGAGUCUUUAAUGCUCCGGGUGCCGUCGCUAACGUUUUUAGUAUUCCGCCUGGGGAGUACGCUCGCAAGAGUGAAACUCAAAAGGAAUUGACGG